UACGUAGGUGACAAGCGUUGUCCGGAUUUACUGGGCGUAAAGAGCGCGCAGGCGGUCGAUCAAGUCGAGUGUGAAAGCCCCCGGCUCAACUGGGGAGGGUCAUUCGAUACUGAUCGACUCGAAGGCAGGAGAGGGUAGUGGAAUUCCCGGUGUAGUGGUGAAAUGCGUAGAUAUUGGGAAGAACACCGGUGGCGAAGGCGGCCCACUGGAUCGGUACUGACGCUGAGGUGCGAAAGCGUGGGGAGCAAACAGG
rnacentral:rRNA from 1 species